CGGAGGGUGCAAGCGUUAAUCGGAAUUACUGGGCGUAAAGCGUGCGUAGGCGGUUCGUUAAGUCAGCUGUGAAAGCCCCGGGCUCAACCUGGGAACUGCGGUUGAAACUGGCGAACUAGAAUCUGGCAGAGGGGGGUGGAAUUCCACGUGUAGCAGUGAAAUGCGUAGAGAUGUGGAGGAACACCGAUGGCGAAGGCAGCCCCCUGGGCUGAGAUUGACGCUCAGGCACGAAAGCGUGGGGAGCAAACAGGAUUAGAUACCCUGGUAGUCCACGCCCUAAACGAUGUCAACUAGGUGUUGGAGGAGCAAUCCUUUGGUACCGCAGCUAACGCGUGAAGUUGACCGCCUGGGGGAGUACGGUCGCAAGAUUA
rnacentral:rRNA from 1 species